rnacentral:rRNA from 1 species
GAUGAACGCUGGCGGCGUGCUUAAUACAUGCAAGUCGAGCGAACAGGCGUGUUUCUUGCUCUUCUGACGUUACGGACGGAUGGGUAACAAGCACGUGACUAACCUACCUCUAUGGCUUGACUUCCUUAGGCAAACGGGAGUACAUACCGGGAACUCUUUUGACACGCAUGGGUUUGUAGUGUUUGAGGGUUUUGGUGUGACCUCUCGAUGUAUCAGCGCGGUGUUAGGUUGUUGGUUAGGUAAGGGCUUACCAGGGCGACGAUGCGUAGCCGACACGAGCGGGUGAUCGCCCACACUGGGACUGAGACACGGUCCAGACUCCUACGGGAGGCAGCAGUAGGGAAUCUUCCGCAAUGGGCGAAAGCCUGACGGAGCAACGCCGCGUGAGUGAUGAAGGUCUUCGGAUCGUAAAACUCUGUUAUUAGGGAAGAACAAAUGUGUAAGUAACUAUGCACUUCGUGACGGUACCUAAUCAGAAAGCCACGGCUAACUACGUG